GAAAUGCGAUAAGUAGUGUGAAUUGUAGAAUUCAGUGAAUCAUCGAAUCUUUGAACGCACAUUGCGCCCCUUGGUAUUCCAUGGGGCAUGCCUGUUCGAGUGUCAUUUGUACCCUCAAGCUCUGCUUGGUGUUGGGUGUUUGUCCCCGUCUCCGCGCGUGGACUCGCCCCAAAGUGAUUGGCAGCCGGCGUACUGGUCCCGGAGCGCAGCACAUGUCGCGCAAACGAGUGCCUUGGUACGGCGGCGUCCAUAAGCCCCUCUCUCACGCUCUUGACCUCGGAUCAGGUAGGGAUACCCGCUGAACUUAAGC
rnacentral:misc_RNA from 1 species